rnacentral:rRNA from 1 species
UACGUAGGGGGCAAGCGUUGUCCGGAAUUAUUGGGCGUAAAGAGCGCGUAGGUGGCCUCAUAAGUCCGCUGUGAAAGUCAAAGGCUCAACCUUUGAAAGCCGGUGGAUACUGUGAGGCUAGAGUACGGAAGAGGCGAGUGGAAUUCCUGGUGUAGCGGUGGAAUGCGCAGAUAUCAGGAGGAACACCAAUAGCGAAGGCAGCUCGCUGGGACGUUACUGACACUGAGGCGCGAAAGCGUGGGGAGCGAACAGG